rnacentral:rRNA from 1 species
AACUUCUGUCAGUGGCGGACGGGUGAGUAACGCGUAGGUAUCUGUCCAUGGGUGGGGGAUAACGGCGGGAAACUGCUGCUAAUACCGCAUGACACCUGAGGGUCAAAGGCGCGAGUCGCCUGUGGAGGAGCCUGCGUCCGAUUAGCUAGUUGGUGGGGUAACGGCCUACCAAGGCUGUGAUCGGUAGCUGGUCUGAGAGGAUGAUCAGCCACACUGGGACUGAGACACGGCCCAGACUCCUACGGGAGGCAGCAGUGGGGAAUAUUGGACAAUGGGCGCAAGCCUGAUCCAGCAAUGCCGCGUGGGUGAAGAAGGUCUUCGGA